rnacentral:misc_RNA from 1 species
GUGAGUCAUCGAAUCUUUGAACGCAUCUUGCGCUCCUUGGUAUUCCGAGGAGCAUGCCUGUUUGAGUGUCAUGAAUCAUCUCAAUUUCAAUCAUUUUUUGUUUGAAAUUGGAUUUGGAUGUUGUUGGCGUUUAAAAUGCCAACUCAUCCUAAAUACAUUAGCGGUCUGCCUCGAUCACGCACAAUGUGAUAAGAAAAAAGCAUUGUUGAGAUCAAGUCAAGGUUGCUUCUAACGGUCGAAAGACACAGCAUAUAAUGUCAUCUGACCUCAAAUCAGGUAGGAUUACCCGCUGAACUUAAGCAUAUCAAUAAGCGGAGGA